rnacentral:rRNA from 1 species
UGAGGGGCCUGCGUAGCAUCAGCUAGUUGGUGGGGUAAUGGCCUACCAAGGCGAAGACGCUUAGCUGGUCUGAGAGGAUGAUCAGCCACACUGGGACUGAGACACGGCCCAGACUCCUACGGGAGGCAGCAGUGGGGAAUAUUGGGACAAUGGGCGCAAGCCUGAUCCAGCCACGCCGCGUGAGUGAUGAAGGCCUUCGGGUCGUAAAGCUCUGUGGGGAGGGACGAACGGCGCCAUGAAGAGUGGCGAUUGACGGUACCUCCUUAGCAAGCACCGGCUAACUUCGUGCCAGCAGCCGCGGUAAUACGAAGGGUGCAAACGUUGCUCGGAAUCAUUGGGCGUAAAGCGCACGUAGGCGGCUUUCUAAGUCGGAUGUGAAAUCCCUCGGCUUAACCGAGGACGUGCAUCCGAAACUGGGAGGCUUGAGUAUGGAAGAGGGUCGCAGAAUUCCCGGUGUAGAGGUGAAAUUCGUAGAUAUCGGGAGGAAUACCAGUGGCG